UACAGCCAUAUCACAUUGAAACACCAGUUCCCUUAUGAUCAUCGAAGUUAAGCAAUGUUGAAAUUGGUUAGUACCUUGAUGGGUAAUGACUUGGGAAUACCAUGUGCUGUAAG